AUGAGACAGUGCAUACAAGCAGAAGAAAGACUGGCAGUGACCCUGCGUUACCUUGGUUCAGGCAAUUCAUUUGCUGACCUAGCAUUCCUUUUCCGGAUUCCAGGCAACACCAUCCACAAAAUUGUGAUGGAUACGUGUGCAGCAUUGUACAGGAUUCUUCGAGUGGAUUUUUUAAAGGUUCCAAGUACUGAGGCAGAAUGGCAA